AUAAAGAAAUUAUAAUAACUCAAUGAAUUGAAACUUAUUUAAGAGGAAAUUUCAUUUUGUGUUUUAUUCACUGCAAAAAUAAAUACUUAUGUAAAGUUAUCUAUCUAAAAAUUCAUAAAAUAUCAUUUUUAUUGGUCCUUGAGGAAUAACUUCCAACCGGUAAUAGAAAGUGUACCGGAAAUCGCGUGGAAAAAGAGACAAGGUACGGGAAUAGAACCCUCCACCCAAUGCGUUAUAGUGGCAAACCUUAUCCACAAGCCACCAUUCACUUAUGGCUCAGAUCCCAAUACAAUUUGAUUUAGGUUGAUAACGUGAUGUACACCUGUGGGAAAACGGGUUUGUGUCAAGCCUAAGCGAUCUAUCAAAAUGAAUCCUUUAACUGUAAUCAGAAAACCAACUUAAAACUUAAACACCUUUCAUAAGUGAUUGGUGACCCAACAUUCCUUACAAUGAGGUAGCCAUGAGGGUGACGCCUCUGCAAUCUGUUGCGUGUCUCAAGUCGUCAUCUCUUAAGUUAAUAUGAGAAAUGUUAAAAGUUGAGUGCCUAAGAAUUAUUGACAUAAUUCUAGUGCUUGGAUUUUUGUUAUAAGUUUACCUUGCAACAUUUCUGAAGGUGAUAUUAUGGCAAUUUUCUUACAGUAAUUAUUGAUUUGAUAAAUAUUACAUGAAGAAACACAUUUAAGUUUAAGGAUUAUAAUCUUUGACACUACAAAAGUAUUGUAUUUCAUUAUAUUAAAUAUAAUAAUAAUUCUAUCAGAUUUCAUUGAAUUGAAAAGUUGCCUAGAUAAUAUUAAGAAAAUCUACAGAAAUGAACUAUUACUGUUUUGCUUAAUACUAUAAUAAUUUAAUUAAUCACUGGCCUCCAUACAUGAAAAAAAGUACAAACAAUAAAAUGAUAUUAAACUCACUAAAAUUCUAUGGUGAUAGAAUCAAGAAAAAUAAAGUUAAUCGGACACAUCUUCCAAACAAUGACUUUAUAACUAACAUCUACGAAUGAAAAAUAACUGGGAAGAAACUAAGAGAACGCCCAUGGGAAUAAUAUUUUGAAAAUAUUUGAACUCAUAAUUAAAAAUUAUGAACUCGUUUGUUUCACAUUAUUCAUCAUUAAUCAUUAUUCAAAAGCAAAAUUGUAAAUCUAAAAGAAUUAAGAAAAAAUGAUAAUAUAAAAUGAUAAUACCAAGA